rnacentral:lncRNA from 1 species
ACUAUAAAUGCCAAGAAGUUAUAGGAUGGAGAAUGGAGGAUAGUUUUUUGGAAUUUUGAGAAGUAAGAAAGCAUAUACAAACAUAUGCAAAUGAGAUGCAAGCCAGCACCUGCUCCACAUUGUGUAGGCAGCCAGCUUUCUGCAGCCCUGCAUGUUUCUACAAAGGUGAGAGAGGGGCCUCCUUGUGACUCCAGCUGAGCUCUGGGACAUAUCAUGGGGUUUUAUACAAAAAAGAAUCACCCCAAGACUUUCCUUGCUAGGGGCAUUUCUGUUGGAGGAAGCAUCGCCUUGGGAGAGAGAAGAGGACCAGAAUUUAGGCCUCAGAAGGGAAGAAUGAAGACCCCAAAGUUGCCACAUUCUAGGGAGCGCAGACCUCAGGAUUUUGAGGAGUUGGUUCCAUCAGCGUCAAGAGGUGCAGGUUUCCGGAGACAAAUAUGCCCUCCAUUCCCAGCCCCUCCAUCUGUCUAAACACAAUUUGACAUGCGUUGCUAUUAGCUUAGCACCUUAUCAAAUAAUGCGGCCUGAUCGAGAUAAAAGGUUUUACAACCCUUGCUGCCUUUGUUUCUGCCUGCAUUCACCCGCCGAGACAGCUAAUAAUUACCACCAAAGACAAAGAGAAAUCUAUACGCUCAGCGUAGAGGUUCCUGUGUG